rnacentral:rRNA from 1 species
AACGUAGGACACAAGCGUUAUUCGGAUUUACUGGGCUUAAAGAGUUCGUAGGCGGCGCAGAAAGUAGGGUGUGAAAGCCCUCGGCUCAACCGAGGAAUUGCGCUCUAAACUACUGUGCUUGAAGAAGCUAGAGGUGAGCGGAACUGAUGGUGGAGCGGUGAAAUGCGUUGAUAUCAUCAGGAACACCGGAGGCGAAGGCGGCUCACUGGGGCUUAUCUGACGCUGAGGAACGAAAGCCAGGGGAGCGAACGGG